rnacentral:rRNA from 1 species
AGCUCCAAUAGCGUAUAUUAAAGUUGUUGCCGUUAAAAAGCUCGUAGUCGAACUUCGGCCUCUGCCACCCGGUCCGCCUAUUUGGGUGUGUACUGGAGUGGUGGAGGCUUACCUCGUGGUGAGCGGCCAUGUCCUUUACUGGGCGUGGUCGGGAACCAUGACAUUUACUUUGAAAAAAUUAGAGUGUUCAAAGCAGGCUUACGCCCGAAUACAUUAGCAUGGAAUAAUAAAAUAGGACGUGCGGUCCUAUUUUGUUGGUUUCUAGGAUCGCCGUAAUGAUUAAUAGGGAUAGUUGGGGGCAUUCGUAUUCAAUUGCUAGAGGUGAAAUUCUUGGAUUUAUUGAAGACGAACUACUGCGAAAGCAUUUGCCAAGGAUGUUUUCA